UAAUACCUGAUAAGCCCACGGGAUCUUCGGAUCUUGCGGGAAAAGAGGGGGACCUUCGGGCCUCUUGUCAUCGGAUGAGUCCGCGUACCAUUAGCUAGUUGGCGGGGUAAAGGCCCACCAAGGCGACGAUGGUUAGCUGGUCUGAGAGGAUGAUCAGCCACACUGGAACUGAGACACGGUCCAGACUCCUACGGGAGGCAGCAGUGGGGAAUUUUGCGCAAUGGGGGAAACCCUGACGCAGCAACGCCGCGUGAGUGAUGAAGGCCUUCGGGUCGUAAAGCUCUGUCUAGAGGAAAGAAGUGUAUGAUGGAUAAUACCCAUUGUACUUGACGGUACCUCUGAAGGAAGCACCGGCUAACUCCGUGCCAGCAGCCGCGGUAAUACGGAGGGUGCGAGCGUUGUUCGGAUUUAUUGGGCGUAAAGCGCGUGUAGGCGGUUUCUUAAGUCUGAUGUGAAAGCCCCGGGCUCAACCUGGGAAGUGCAUUGGAUACUGGGAGACUUGAAUACGGGAGAGGGUAGUGGAAUUCCUAGUGUAGGAGUGAAAUCCGUAGAUAUUAGGAGGAACACCGGUGGCGAAGGCGGCUACCUGGACCGAUAUUGACGCUGAGACGCGAAAGCGUGGGUAGCAAACAGGAUUAGAUACCCUGGUAGUCCACGCCGUAAACGAUGAGUACUAGGUGUUGCGGGUA
rnacentral:rRNA from 1 species